CCAGAGGUUGGGCCCAAGGAAAGGACCCAAACACAGACAGAGUAACUACCGUUACACCCCGGUUUAUUUACAAGGAUAUUUAUUUAGGAAUAACAGAAUACAGAGCGGACAAAGCCUUUAGCCACGGAGGUUCGGUGACUGGGAUGGAGAGGGAGUGUCCUAGUAAAUCAGGUUGCAGGAGGGGAUCACAGAAAAGGCCUCAGAGGAACAGGAGGGAUUCUGCAACAGAUGGAGAGGUGGUUAUUGUCCGAGUUAGUAAGCACUGAGGAGGGGAGGUCUGUGGAAGUUUUCUUGGGAGUCCUGAGGUGUAACGAGAAGGUCGGAGGGCGGACAGACAGGGAGAUGAGAUGCAGAUGGAAUACAGGUGAGGUGCUGGAUGUCCCAAAAGGGGAGGACCCACAGCCACAGAUGGAAAACCUCCAGACACUCCCACAGACCGUAACAAAAACGUGGUUUCACAGAACUCCAAACAGUUUGGUGUUUUUAUUUUGAUACCCACACUGAUUGCCAUAAAUCUGACCUCCAACAAAUUCCCUCCAUAUAAAACUAUUAAAAGAAGACAAAUAACAAUAAACUGAGACAAGUGAACCCUCUCUGGAAACUAAAUGAAAUUAAAGUGAUAUAAAAACUUUUAAAAGUAUAAAUAAAAUAAAACAUAAUUACAAAACAUAAAACUGUGACAAUUCUGUUUAUAAUCUUAUUUGUUAUAUAACUAAAUGAACUGGUACAUUGUUUUCUUCAGUUUUUACUACAAGUCACAUUCAUCCUUUCACACACAUUCGUAUCG